UACGGGGGGGGCAAGCGUUGUUCGGAAUUACUGGGCGUAAAGGGCUCGUAGGUGGCCAACUAAGUCAGACGUGAAAUCCCUCGGCUUAACCGGGGAACUGCGUCUGAUACUGGAUGGCUUGAGUUUGGGAGAGGGAUGCGGAAUUCCAGGUGUAGCGGUGAAAUGCGUAGAUAUCUGGAGGAACACCGGUGGCGAAGGCGGCAUCCUGGACCAACACUGACACUGAGGAGCGAAAGCGAGGGGAGCAAACGGG
rnacentral:rRNA from 1 species